GAUGAAGAACGUAGCGAAAUACGAUACUUGGUGUGAAUUGCAGAAUCCCGUGAACCAUCGAGUCUUUGAACGCAAGUUGCGCCCGAAGCCAUUAGGCCGAGGGCACGCCUGCCUGGGCGUCACACGUCGUUGCCCCCCCAUCUACUCCUUCGGGACUGCGGGGGGCGGAUGAUGGCCUCCCGUGCGCCUCGCCGCGCGGUUGGCAUAAAUGCCAAGUCCUCGGCGACGCACGCCACGACAAUCGGUGGUUGCGAAACCUCGGUUGCCCGUCGUGUGCGGUCGUCGCGCAUCGAGGGCUCGAAAAAAUUGCCGGGUUCCGGCUCGGCUUUCAACGCGACCCCAGGUCAGGCGGGGUUACCCGCUGAAUUUAAGCAUAUCAAUAAGCGGAGGA
rnacentral:misc_RNA from 1 species